rnacentral:sRNA from 1 species
GCCAAGGCGGCCGGCGGGAGGGACGGGGCCCGACCGGGAGCGGAGCCGGAGCGGAAGCCGCAGCCGGGCGGCGGGAGCGGCGGGAGCGGCGGGAGCGGCGGAAGCAGGGCGGGCCGGGCUCCAUGGCGCCAGCGGCGUCCGCCUGAGCAGCGCGGGCAGCAGCGGGUCCUGGAGCGGGUGCUGAAGAAAUACGACUACGACAGCAGCUCCGUGCGGAAGAGGUUCUUCCGGGAGGCGCUGCUGCAGAUCAGCAUCCCGUUCCUGCUCAAGAAGCUGGCCCCUACCUGCAAGUCGGAGCUGCCCCGGUUCCAGGAGCUGAUCUUCGAGGACUUUGCCAGGUUCAUCCUGGUGGAAAACACAUACGAGGAGGUGGUGCUGCAGACCGUCAUGAAGGACAUCCUGCAGGCUGUGAAGGAGGCCGCGGUGCAGAGGAAGCACAACCUCUACCGGGACAGCAUGGUCAUGCACAACAGCGACCCCAACCUGCACCUGCUGGCCGAGGGCGCCCCCAUCGACUGGGGCGAGGAGUACAGCAACAGCGGCGGGGGCGGCAGCCCCAGCCCCAGCACCCCGGAGGCAGCCACCCUCUCGGAAAAGCGACGGCGCGCUAAGCAGGUGGUCUCCGUGGUCCAGGAUGAGGAGGCAGGGCUGCCC